rnacentral:lncRNA from 1 species
CAGAUAUGUUUUUUUGCCUGGAAGUGUGUUGGGAUAAUCAACACUCCUUAUGUCAGAAUUAGUUGGUCCUCCUUCUUUUCUUUCUAGAUUGUGGAUAAUUGGGGAGAAUAUUUGAGAUAAAGAAAUGAAAUGCAUGAGGAAAGCUUCAUGUCCCUCAAGUUUAGGGAUGUGCAGUUUCUGAACUGCACAAGUAGAGUCAGGCUCCCACAGAAACUUUCCAAAGCUGGAAGGGACAGGGAAGAAAAUCCCAAGAGUGGUGUGGGAAGUGCUUUCUCCCAGAUCUGGACACCGCUGAGGUUGGAAUGACAUUAAAAUAUUCCUUGUCCCUCUCUUGUUCCCAGCCCAGGACUCAGCUGGUGCUCCCUGUGUGGCUGCAGCUCCCUGGAUGUGGAGGGAGGAGGUCCCUGCUGGAGAGUGGGAGAAAUGUCCCUGCUGGUUGCUGGGUCCUUGGUGGGCAGAGAACUCUGAUCUUGGCAAGAUGGUCUCGCCUUCCCAGAAGGGCACUGGGUGGAUCCUUCUGUCUCUGCUGGAGGUGCAGCUUCACAGCCCAGGGGAGGAGUCACUCAUGGGGCAGGGGAGGCCAGAGCUGCCCCUGUGAGCUGGCAGGGGGACCGGCCUGAUUCAAACAGCUGAACACAGCAAAGUCACACAGGGACUCUGCUGCUCCCCCAGCUCCUGCCAGGAUUGUGGAAACUGAUGGAAAGUGACCCAGAUCAAGCUAUUUUAUUGUGAAAUUGUGUUUGUUAGGGAAAGAAGGUAAGGAUGAGAAAUCUUGGGCUGGAUGGGUUUUUUCCAUGAAAUACCAAAAGCAAUAUUGGGAAACUUACUGAUUCUAUUGGUAAUGGCUAUAUACUCAUGCACUUACCCUAUUGGUAAUAGCUAUAUACUCCUGCACUUAUCCUAUUAGUUUUCCUAUCAAAUACUGGGAAUUCAGAUACUGUUCAAAUGGAAUCGUCUCCUGUCCAUGGUAUUUUCUUGGUUGUUUUUUAAAAAAUACAAAAAGCAAAAACUUGGUCAGUAAUAGUUUAAACUCUUGAAAUGCAUUUGUUCAUGACCAAUGAAAAUGCCUCUAUGACAGGCAAGGAACACAGCCAGGAGCAGGUGAUGCAUUAAGUCUUGAGUGGAGAUCAACCUGUUGUCCAUAGUGGGGAAACUUCUCUACCCCUUCAGAGCACAGGGACUGAAUUUGGUUUUAUUUGAACCAAGGCAGUCCAGGCUUUCCCUGCCCACUCAGGUGGGGCAGCCACCAGCCUGUGACACUGGAGCUGG